rnacentral:rRNA from 1 species
CACGUAGGGGGCAAGCGUUGUCCGGAUUUAUUGGGCGUAAAGAGCUCGUAGGCGGCUCAGUAAGUCGGGUGUGAAACCUCCAGGCUCAACCUGGAGACGCCAUCCGAUACUGCUGUGGCUAGAGUCCGGUAGGGGAGCGUGGAAUUCCUGGUGUAGCGGUGAAAUGCGCAGAUAUCAGGAGGAACACCAGCGGCGAAGGCGGCGCUCUGGGCCGGAACUGACGCUGAGGAGCGAAAGCGUGGGGAGCGAACAGG